UUGCAAGCCAGAUCACUUGCUCUGCAUCCAGUUGCAGAAGUGAGGGGAACAUGUUUGCUAAAUUAUAAGUGGUUGAAAUAUAGACGCCUUAGAAACAAUAUUUAUUUGGUUACUGUUUCUACCCUACAUAA